UACGUAGGGUGCGAGCGUUGUCCGGAAUUAUUGGGCGUAAAGGGCUCGUAGGCGGUUUGUCGCGUCGGGAGUGAAAACCCAGGGCUUAACUCUGGGCUUGCUUUCGAUACGGGCAGACUAGAGGUAUGCAGGGGAGAACGGAAUUCCUGGUGUAGCGGUGAAAUGCGCAGAUAUCGGGAGGAACACCGGUGGCGAAGGCGGUUCUCUGGGCCUGUACUGACGCUGAGGAGCGAAAGCCAGGGGAGCAAACGGG
rnacentral:rRNA from 1 species